CCGGAAAUGCCCCUCUGUGCCCCGUUGGAAGCCAGCCGCCGGUUCCCGGAGCUUCCUAUCGUGCCCCUUGCUGGCCUCCUCUCGGCCGCCCGCCGCGUUGACGUCAAGCUGCGCGAGUCUGGACAGGCCGUGCGUAAUACCGACUUGUGAGCAGAGACUCGGGCUCAAGCACCUCGGCGCUGCCCUGCGCCAGACGCGGCCCGGGCCCAAGGAGCCCGGCCUGCAGCGUCCGAGUGCAGACCGCAGGCCCGGCUCCGAGAGCACUGCAGAGGGAGGGGCCCGACAGCGCAGGUCGCCCUGGUGGCGCAGACCCGCUCCAGGGGCCUCAUCAAGCUUUGCACGUGUUUUGCCCACCAAAGUUAUGGGGGGCCCUGAGAGUUGGAUGACAGGCUCCACAAGCCAUAUCUGGCCUGUGAGCCAGGGCUCGAGCAUCCCUGGUAUAGAUAAGAUCUUCAGGGUCACCCUUAGGUGUGUGGGUGUGUGCGUUGUUUUUCUCUCUCUACCGCCUUCAGUUUCUUUCUGCCCCAGGCUUGACUGGGCAGGAAGGAUUGCAACCCUGCUCUGGAGAACAGAGAAGGUGCAGGGACAGUUGUAGACAGGGAGCAAGCUACCUUGGGAGGGGAGGAGAUGGGCAUGGCAGGGAAGGCAGUGAGGGGGGCGGGAGAGGGAGCAGAACAUAAAUUGCACCCAGACAUAUUCAGGUUUCUGGAAAUUCCCUUCUGCUUGUAUCUCCUGCACUGUCCCUACAACUCGGGCAUCCGAGCUGUUGGCGGAUACUGCCUCAGGGAUGAUUUCAACAACAGGUGCUCUGGUGGGCAUGAUGAUCUGCAUGCAGCCCUUGCCAUAAUCCUCCACCCCAGACAGGUUCAGUAGUCAGGCUGUCCUGGGCAAAAGGUGGAGCCAUUUUCACAAGGAGCAGGAACUCAGCCUCUGCUGCAUGAAGUCCUUAGCGGAGGUGGGAGUGGUUGCACUGGCAUCACUACACUUGUAAGCAUUGGAUCCAAAUCAGAGGGAUAGUCUGGCUGUAGGAGUGGCAGGGGACAGAGCAGCGGGAGGGAGUCAGCCCAUGUAGCCCAGAGAAAGGACGCCGAGUUGCAGAGGAAGUGAAGGAACCCCUAUGUUCUGAACAGAAACAGGAUUGCUUUGGCAGCAGUGCAUCCAGGGUACAGAACACACUGAGCAUGUCAAUACCGGGAGUUGGAACAAGAGCAAAAUUACAAACCUGCCUGGGGGGCAGAGAUGGUGCCCUUUCACUGAAAGUGAGAACUACAAGACUGCUGGGAUCAAAGGUUAUUCGAUCAAGUAACUGCUAAUGAUUCAACAGACAAAUGAUCACUUGCAGGAGUGGAAUUCCCCAACAGCAGCCUCAGAUGUGGGUG